ACCGGACUCGCGGCUUCUCAUCAGAUCAGUCUUCAAUAAUCAGUCAUGAUCCGAGCUCCACGUGCGCCUGAGACGUGGACCGGGACCCGACGGGACGCUCCACGCGGACGUGUCCGCGGGGCGACCAGACUGUAAUGGAGGCUCCGGCCAGCAGGGGGCAGCAGGUGGUUUUACCUGAAGUCAUUACAGCUGAAGUUCUGUGUCUGUGAAUGAUGCAUGCUGGGAAAACGGACCGAGAGCCGCUGUGACAUCGGCACAGGUGGCUCUGCUCUCUGAUUUGAUCCUGAGCUGUGAUGUCAUCGGUGGCGCCUCAGCCACAAAGUUUCCUGACGGCGUCCUGUGUGAGCGCGGUGUCGGGAUGGUCUGUGGCUGUGCCGCAGUAAAGAGGAGGAGUUCUGAUCACGCGCCUCUGCGGUCUGUGAGCUCUGAUCCAGACUCUCCCAGCUGUGUCGUUCCAGCCAGUUUGGGACAAUUUGUUUUUAAUUUGCUGUUUAAAUGUUUUUAAACAGCCAAAUGCAGCAAAUCUCACACUGAUCAAAACUCUGCAAACUAAUGUUCAGUAUAUUUAUUUAUGCAUGGGAAUGAAAAAACUGGAAAUAAAUUAUUAAAUAUAUGAAUGAUUAAAUUACAGUUCUAUUAAUUUGACACACUUGUUCAAAUUUAAAUAGACUGGCGAGGAAAUGAUUAAGACGUAAACCUGAGGGGGGCUAAAUAAGUAUAAACAUAAGUGUAUACUUCUGCCUACUGCUUUUCAAACAGCUGAAUGGAUGAUGUUAUGGACUGUUGGUGAAUGUAUAUGUUCGAAAUAAAAAUGAACUGAACAUUGAA